CGGGGUGUCGUAUAACGGCAGUACGCAGCCUUCGGGAGGCUGUAGUCUGGGUUCAAUUCCCAGCUCCCCGACCA
rnacentral:tRNA from 1 species